CAUUUGUAAAAAAAAAAAAAAAAAAAGAAUCUAAAUAUUUCUCAUUCGAAUAAUAGUGUUCUUUUAAACUUUAUAUUUAUUUUAUUUGCUUGUUGGUUUUACACAUCCAAACUAAUCAAACACGUGUGUUUUCGUAUAAAAAAACCCUAAAAACCAUCCAAGUAUUGCUGUCUUAAUUCCACCUGAGUAAAAACAAAGUCACUCGGAACUGAAUGUACUGUCUUGACAAUUGCAUGUAAUUCUUUCUUGUAACUACACUAACACACCGAAUGCACGCCAUGGAUCGCGUCUAUGUGCUGUUUUCCAGAAAAAGCCGGCUCUUCUGAUCUGCAGCUGUUCUCUGUGGUGCUAAGGAUCCAGCAGAUUCAUAUUGUGUCACAUUCUGGCGCAGACGUCUAUUUCGGUCUCCUCUGAAUCACAAUGAGCUUGAAAUCUGUGACCGAGGCGUUCGAGCAGCUCUCAGUCGGGUUAAAUUAAAGCUGCACCUCCGUAUCUGAUGAAGAUCCCAACAGAAGGUUUCCGCCGCCUGCGCACGAGACGGCGACAUCCAGGAAAGUCUGAAGUGCGCUAAGAAGCAAGGCGCUGGCGUUUAAUGACACUGGUACGAGCUCAUUAUUGUGGUAAUUGGCGUCCUCAGGUGCUCCUGGCUCCGGGUCCAGGUGUGAACGGCGUCUCUGGUUUGGCAGAUUCCCCCUCGGUCGCCCCGUUUGGAUCAGAACCCCCGAAAAGGAAGACGCAGUCUAGAUACGUCACGGUGUGAACGCUUUAACUGGACCCCGAGAUCCUGCCGUCUUC